rnacentral:rRNA from 1 species
CUUAAGCAUAUCAAUAAGCGGAGGAAAAGAAACCAACAGGGAUUGCCCCAGUAACGGCGAGUGAAGCGGCAACAGCUCAAAUUUGAAAUCUGGCCCCUCCGGGGUCCGAGUUGUAAUUUGCAGAGGAAGCUUUUGGCCCAGGGCCCUUUUAAGACCCCUGAAACGGGGCGCCACAGAGGGUGAGAGCCCCGUGAGGAGAGCGCUGGGCUUCUGUAAAGCUCCUUCGAAGAGUCGAGUAGUUUGGGAAUGCUGCUCUAACCGGGAGGUAAAUGCCUUCUAAAGCUAAAUACCGGCCAGAGACCGAUAGCGCACAAGUAGAGUGAUCGAAAGAUGAAAAGCACUUUGAAAAGAGAGUUAAACAGCACGUGAAAUCGUUGAAAGGGAAGCGUUAGUGACCAGAACUGUGCCGUGCGGAUCACCCGGGGCUCUGCCCCGGCGCACUCCGGGCGGUUUUCAGGCCAGCAUCGGCGCCGCUGGGGGGAGAAAAGCACCGGGAACGUAGCUCCCUAGGGAGUGUUAUAGCCCGGGGCCUAAUACCCCCGACGGCGUCGAGGAUAGCGCUCCGUGCUAGGAUGCUGGCGUAAUGGUCAUUAGCGGCCCGUCUUGAAACACGGACCAAGGAGUCAAGCAUUAGGGCGAGUGUUAGGGUGCUAAAACCCUCGACGCGAAAUGAAAGUGAACGCAGGUGAGAGCUUCGGCGCAUCAUCGACCGAUCCUGAAGUCUUCUGAUGGAUUUGAGUAAGAGCCUUACCGCUUGGACCCGAAAGAUGGUGAACUAUGCCUGUAUAGGGUGAAGCCAGAGGAAACUCUGGUGGAGGCUCGCAGCGGUUCUGACGUGCAAAUCGAUCGUCAAAUAUGGGCAUGGGGGCGAAAGACUAAUCGAACCAUCUAGUAGCUGGUUACCGCCGAAGUUUCCCUCAGGAUAGCAGUGUUGUUUUCAGUUUUAUGAGGUAAAGCGAAUGAUUAGGGACUCGGGGGCGCUAUUUAGCCUUCAUCCAUUCUCAAACUUUAAAUAUGUAAGAAGCCCUCGUUACUUCAGUGAACGUGGGCGCUGGAAUGUACCAACACUAGUGGGCCAUUUUUGGUAA